AGGAAGAACAAAACAAGAUGGCGUCUGACGGAGAAUACUUUUUUUGGGUUAUUAUGGUUUCUAGGUCUUAAUUACAACGUACAUGUGCACAUGUGUGUCGUUUAACAGAGUAAACGUCGUUAUUAAUUGUUUGUAUGCGGAUACAUUAGUCUGAGUGCACUUAUACGUGCUAGCCUAGCCUGCUGGUUAGCUUAGCUUGUUAGCUGCUAACAAAGAGAGGCGGAAGUGAUCGACACAUCAAAGCAGAGAUCCAAUACAUCUGUGAAGAACAUCUUCACCCUGAGCAACAGAAGUGGAAUUUCAGGAUGGAGCAACAGACCUCCCACAUUACAAAAGAAGAGGAACACCCACUGAUCCCCCAUUUUAAGGAGGAAGAAGAUGACCCACACACCACUGACAUCAAAGAGGAAGAGGAGGACCAGCUGAGCCCCCAUUUUAAAAAAGAAGAGGAGGACCCACUGACACCCCAUUUUAAAGAGGAAGAGGAAGACCCACUGACACCUCGUUUUAAAGAGGAAGCAUUAUAUCAACUGAGCCCUCACAUUAAGGAGGAAGUGGAUGAACCACUGACCCAUCACAUUAAAGAGGAAGAGGAGGACCCACUGACCCCUCCCAUUAAAGAGGAAGAGGAGGAACACAGCAUCAGUCAGCAGGGAGAGCAUCUUGAAGGACUGGAGGAGUUUACAGUGAUUAGUGUGAUUGUGAAGAGUGAAGGUGAUGAGGUCAAAGGUGAGAGUGAGGAGAGGGGAGGGGGGGAGCCUCCAAGCAGCAGCUCAACUCAACACAUGACAACAGAAGCUGAUGGAGACCACUGUGGAGGAUCACAAGCAGACAAGCUCUUAGCUCCACUAUCAGAUAGUGAGGACACAACGUCACACUCUCCUGACACUGAUGAUGAAGACUCUAAAGAUGAUAAGACAUGUCACACUGACAACACACACUUCACAUGUUCUCUCUGCGACAAAACUUUUAAUGACCGUCGCAAUAUGAAAAGACACAUGAGAAUACACACUGGAGAAAAACCUUUUUCAUGUUCAGUCUGCGGUAAAGGUUUUACUCUAAGUGACCAUUUCAAAGCACACAUGAGAAGACACACUGGAGAAAAACCUUUUUCGUGUUCAAUCUGUAGUAAAGGUUUUGUUCUAAAUCAACAGUUGAAAGUACACAUGAGAAGACACACUGGAGAAAAACCUUUUUCCUGCUCAGAAUGUGGUAAAAGUUUUGUAUUAAAUCAAAGUUUAAAAUUACACAUGAGAACACACACUGGAGAAAAACUUUUUUCAUGUUCAUGCUGCGGUAAAGAUUUUACUCGAAAGGACCAUUUCAAUAUACACAUGAGAAUACACACUGGAGAAAAAACGUUUUCCUGCUCAGAAUGUGGUAAAAGUUUUGUAAGAAAUCAAAGUUUAAAAGAACACAUGAGAAUACACACUGGAGAAAAAACAUUUUCCUGUUUAAAAUGUGGUAAAAGUUUUGUAAGAAAUCAAAAUUUAAAAGUACACAUGAAAACACACACUGGAGAAAAACCUUUUUCAUGUUCAAUCUGUGGUAAAGAUUUUACUCGAAGGGACCAUUUCAAAAAACACAUGAGAAUACACACUGGAGACAAAACUUUUUCCUGCUAAGAAUGUGGUAUAAGUGUUGUAAUAAAUUGUAGUUUAAAAGUACACAUGAGAACACACACUGGUGAAAAACCUUUUAUAUGUUCAGUAUGUGGUAAAAGUUAAAUAGAAAGGCAGGAAUUAAAACCACACAUGAGAAUGCACUCUAGUAAAAAAAACAUACUCCUGUUCAAGCUGCAACAAAAGCUUAUGUCACUUAGACACUCUUACGGUACACAUGAGAACACACACAGGUGAGAAAGUGUUGAGUUGCAGUGUGUGUGGUGAAAGAUUCUCUUCUAAGUCCCAGUGUAAGAAACACAAGUGUGCUGGUGAGAACAGCAGCAGCAAAUGAAGAUGCAGGAUUUGAAAUAAACUGUCAAAACUUGAACUUUGACUUUCUAACAACAUCAGCACAUAUAACAUGUGUGACAUCAUUGUUGUGUGUGUAACACAAUCUUGUUAAUAUGAUUAUAGAUUAGACACUUCAGAUUAGUGCUUUUAUUUCAGUCAAGUACAUGAGUUAAUAUACACAUUUGUGUACUUUAAAAUGAACACAACAAUUUGACUGAAAAGGUGAAAAUAAACACUACAUAAAAUAUGUCACAUACAAUAAACAUUUUCAUUUUAGGUAUUCAUAAUUCACUUUUAUAUUUAUUCAUAAUAGUGUUUUUUUAAAUAAUGAUAUGUUGCAUAUUUUGUUUUCUAAUUGUAGAUUCCAUAGAUGAACUCCUUUAUAUGAUGUACAUAUUUGUUUUACAUGUGUUCAUACCUUUGCUUUUGAGUACACACAACUCACCUACUCAGUGGCCUAGUGGUUAGAGUGUCCGCCCUGAUAUCGGUAGGUUGGGAGUUCAAACCCCGGCCGAGUCAUACCAAACACUAUAAAAAUGGGACCUAUUGCCUCCCUGCUUGGCACUCAGCAGCAAGGGCUGGAAUUGGGGGUUAAAUCACCAUACAUGAUUCCCGGACGCGGCAUUGCUGCUGCCCACUGCUCCCCUCACUUCCCAGGGGGUGAUCUAAGGGAUGGGUCAAAUAAAGAGGACAAAUUUCACCACACCUAGUGUGUGUUUGACAGUCAUUGUGACAAUCAUCGAUUCCAUAGAUGAACUCCUUUAUAUGAUGUACAUAUUUGUUUUACAUGUGUUCAUACCUUUGCUUUUGAGUACACAUAAAUCCCUCUUAGUUCAUAUUUACUGGUUCACAUCUGAAACAUCUUCUGGACCACUUCUGGAAGCAUAUUAUUAUUUACUUUAUACAUCGUUUGAACAGUUGUCUUAUGCAAUUUUAAAAUGUGUGACUUUAUCAAUCAUUUGUUUGGUCUCCUUAGUCCAUUCUAUUAAUUGUGUUUAUUACUCUCUUGUGUAAUAUGAAUAUUGUAGUGUGAUUGUUUUAUAUGUAUGUCCCCAGACCUUUAUGCAAUAAACAAUGUAUGCUUCAACUAAA